rnacentral:lncRNA from 1 species
AGUGGUGGCGGCGCCGAGAUGGAGGAGCAUGAGGCCGUCGCGGCCAUGCUUGGCGGAGAGGUCACGGAGGGUGAUGUGCGGGAGGUCGCCGCCGAUGAGGUGAAGGUGGCCGAUGAUGGGAAGCCCCGGAGGCGAAGGCGGAAGCUGCUGCUGCUGCUGCUUGUCGUCGCUGCAGCUGCUGCUGCCAUGACGACGGCGGUCUGACCUUGACCGUCGGGAGGAGUAGUAGUGAAGCAGGAGCAGGAGAGGAACGAGGAGCAAUAGGAGCCAUUGUGCCAGGACUAACGAUGAAGAGGUGAGUUGGAAUGCCACCUCCAGGU